rnacentral:rRNA from 1 species
AUGUGGAUAACUGUGGUAAUUCUAGAGCUAAUACGUGCAACUGGCCCUGACUUUACGAAGGGGCGCUUUUAUUAGAUCAAAAUCAAUCAGGCUUCGGCCUGUUUUUGUGAUGACUCUGGAUAACUUUGUGCCGACCGCAUGGCCUUGCGCCGGCGGCGUAUCUUUCAAAUGUCUGCCCUAUCAACUUUCGAUGGUAGGUGACAUGCCUACCAUGGUUGUAACGGGUAACGGAGAAUCAGGGUUCGAUUCCGGAGAGGGAGCCUGAGAAACGGCUACCACAUCCAAGGAAGGCAGCAGGCGCGCAAAUUACCCACUCCCGGCACGGGGAGGUAGUGACGAAAAAUAACAAUGCUGGGCUUCAAGUCCGGUAAUUGGAAUGAGUACACUUUAAAUCCUUUAACGAGGAUCUAGUGGAGGGCAAGUCUGGUGCCAGCAGCCGCGGUAAUUCCAGCUCCACGAGCAUGUACGUAAGUUGUUGCAGUUAAAAAGCUCGUAGUUGGAUCUCAGGCCUGUGGCCGGUGGUCCGCCCGAUACGGGUGUGCACUGCCGUGCCCGGUCUACGUCUGGUUUACGUCCAUAGUGCCCUUAACCGGGUGCUUUGGAAUGCCAGAAGGUUUACUCUGAAAAAAUUAGAGUGCUUAAAGCAAGCCGUUGUGCUUGAAUACUGUUGCAUGGAAUAAUAGAAUAGGACCUCGGAUCUAUUUUGUUGGUUUUCGGAGUCGAGGUAAUGAUUAAGAGGGACAGACGGGGGCAUUCGUAUUGCGCCGUUAGAGGUGUAAUUCUUGGAUCGGCGCAAGACGAACAACUGCGAAAGCAUUUGCCAAGGAUGUUUUCAUUAAUCAAGAACGAAAGUCAGAGGUUCGAGGACGAUCAGAUACCGUCGUAGUUCUGACCAUAAACGAUGCCAACUGGCGAUCCGCCGUAGUCUGGCUUAAAGGACUCGGCGGGCAGCCUCCGGGAAACCUAAGUCUAUGGGUUCCGGGGGAAGUAUGGUUGCAAAGCUGAAACUUAAAGGAAUUGACGGAAGGGCACCACCAGGAGUGGAGCCUGCGGCUUAAUUUGACCCAACACGGGAAAACUCACCCGGCCUGGACACCGUAAGGAUUGACAGACUGAGAGCUCUUUCUUGAUUCGGUGGGUGGUGGUGCAUGGCCGUUCUUAGAUGGUGGAGCGAUUUGUCUGGUUAAUUCCGAUAACGAACGAGACUCUAGCCUGCUAAAUAGACGGGCGAUCCAC